rnacentral:rRNA from 1 species
GUAGGGAAUAUUGGGCAAUGGAUGCAAGUCUGACCCAGCCAUCCCGCGUGCCGGAAGAAGGCCCUCAGGGUUGUAAACGGCUUUUGACGGUGAAGAACCGACAGGAUGCGUCCUGUUUUGACGGUAGCCGUUGAAUAAGCACCGGCUAACUCCGUGCCAGCAGCCGCGGUAAUACGGAGGGUGCGAGCGUUGUCCGGAUUUAUUGGGUUUAAAGGGUGCGUAGGCUGGAAGGUCAGUCAGCGGUGAAAAGCUAUCGCUUAACGAUAGUCUUGGCGCAGAUACUUCCUUUCGUGGAUGAGGAGGAGGCCACUGGAACGGAUGGUGUAGCGGUGAAAUGCAUAGAUAUCAUCCAGAACACCGAUUGCGAAGGCAGGUGGCUGUACCUUAAUCGACGCUGAUGCACGAAAGCAUGGGGAGCAAACAGGAUUAGAAACCCCGGUAGUCC